AUUUGAGGGGGGGGGGGUGCAAAUCGAAAGUUUGUCCCCGGGCGCCGGGAGGGGUCGCUACGCCUCUGAGAAUUAUAAAGGCUAUAGAAUCAAAUCCAAAAUAAAAAGCAGGCUGUAAUCGGAGUCAAUGGCCUAUAUGGCGCAUACCAGGUUGACAGGAAAACUUACGUGUGUUGGAGGAAAUACCAUAAACAAACAGUUAAGAGCUAAGAAGAAGAAGAAAAAGAAAAGAAGAAGGUAAAAAAUAAGAAGAUGAAGAAGAAAAAGAAGAUGAUGGUGAAGAAGAAAAAAACCGAUCAUCACUAAGGAUAUUAAGUUUCGCCGGGACUUUCAAUCGAAGAAAGCUGAUUAAUUAAACAUCGAUCCGCUAGAGCCUUUUUAUCCCUUACCAAAUGUACGUGUUUUACUUUCUACAUGAAAGUGGGUUAAAGCUUGAGGCAGCUUUAAAUAGACCAAGAUGAAAGCUGCGAUAGUAGUCAUCACGGUGUGGUUCAUCCUGACAUCGUUUUGUGUUUUAUAUGGUUCUUCCAAUCCAUGUAACUCGGCGUGCCCCUUUGAUCCGUGUCAGCAUGAAAAGUGUUUGAACUGUCGGCCCGACCCCUGCCAUUUCUGUGAAAUCAUAUGCGAAGCCUGACAAGUUCCACAUUCACCAGAUCGACUUCAUUAAACUUUCAGCUACCCAAAUGUUAAAUCAAUGCUGUAAUAAAGCUGAAGAAACAUUA